rnacentral:rRNA from 1 species
UACAGAGGGUGCAAGCGUUGUUCGGAAUUAUUGGGCGUAAAGCGCGUGUAGGCGGCUUUGCAAGUCGGGUGUGAAAGCCCUCAGCUCAACUGAGGAAGUGCGCCCGAAACUGCAGAGCUUGAGUGCCGGAGAGGGUGGCGGAAUUCCCCAAGUAGAGGUGAAAUUCGUAGAUAUCGGGAGGAACACCAGUGGCGAAGGCGGCUCUCUGGACAGGUACUGACACUGAGACGCGAAAGCGUGGGUAGCAAACAGG